ensembl:lncRNA
GAAAAUCUGAGGGAGAAAUAGGGGGGAAAAAACUAAAGUGAGGAGAAAAAGAUGUAACAAGGGAGUGCCAGAAUGUUAGUCGAGUACUAAAUAAGCAAUCGUGCGCACACUGUCAGUAAAACCCUCCUAGCUAAAGACGAGAUUAACUUGCAAACCACGUAAAAGGAUUGAAAAGUGAUGUGCAGUUCCUGUCUGCUCCCUCUACAUUCAGAAGUUGUCAUGCCGCUGGUGCUGCAGGUACUCAAGCAUUACAUAAUUACGCCAGACUUAAACUAGGCCAGUGCUCUCCUCCUAUCACGCCACAGCGCAUUCAAGAGUGAUUUUUACUGCGACUGUUCAUAUCCUGGCACGUAAUACCACUUCACUGAUACUGCUCAUUGCCAUUCUCAACACUCCGGCAUUAAAAUGUGGGCAGAGUGACAGCAAGGGAUGUCAGAGAGACACAAUCAAACCAAGACCGAGAUAGAGAACAGACAAGGACAGGAAGACACAGAGACUGAUUCUCUGUGCUGACUCACCUUGGACAGCUUCUACUUCCUUGCAGGGGAUUGUGGAGGCGGAGGAGGAGGAGGAGGACAGACAACAACAACAACAGCAGCACACAAAGCUCGGGAGUCUUACAGAUUUAUGCAGAAGUAUCCCACCCUUCAAAGACCUCUAUGAACCACCUCUGAGAGGCAAAGCAUGUCUGUCACAGAUUUAUCAAAGGCAGACAGAGUGACAUUAUCCAGGCCAG